GGUUUAAUUACCCAAGUUUGAGGUACUUUGCGUUUUCGACCUAAAGAAAUUUAGAGUUGAUAACAAAUUUUGGAACGUCCCCUUUCGGGGAGACAAA
rnacentral:snRNA from 1 species